rnacentral:rRNA from 1 species
UACGUAGGGCGCAAGCGUUGUCCGGAAUCAUUGGGCGUAAAGGGCGCGUAGGUGGCGCGGUAAGCGUGCGGUGAAAGCCUGGGGCUCAACCCCGGGUCGGCCGUGCGAACUGCUGGGCUUGAGCACUGUAGAGGCAGGCGGAAUUCCGGGUGUAGCGGUGAAAUUCGUAGAUAUUCGGAAGAACACCAGUGGCGAAGGCGGCCCGCUGGACAUGUAUUGACGCUGAGGUGCGAAAGCGUGGGGAGCAAACAGG